GAUUUUUGGUUCUAGGUGCCUGGUCCAGAAUCGCCGCUCGCCAGCCGCUGUGUUGCAGUCGCCCACUCUUAUUCUCACUCCAACUAACUCUAUGAGGGACUUGCGUUGUGGAGCCAUUUUACACUGCAUUAGAGGUAUUCUCCAAACAUAAAGGAGAUAACAGUGUUGGACAAGAAAAGAGUGAGGAGGGCCAAGUUUUAUUAUCUUAGAGAUAGAAUGAAUCCACUUAGGAAGAAUUAAAGUCAUGCUUUGGAUAGUGGAUAUGGAAAAGUCACGAAUAUGUGCUGAUGGUGGGCACAGUUUUGAGCAGAAGGAUUUUAUAAACUAAUAAAAGUUAUAUAUACACUGGUUGCAAAUAAUAAUCGUAUUAUAUAAUAGAUGAUUGCAAAACAUAAUUUUUUUAUUCAUGUUAUUAUUUAUUUAUGCAAUGAUGCGACAUAAGAGUAUUAUUAUUAUUAUUAUUAUUAUUAUUAUUAUUAUUAUUAUUAUUAUAGGUUUAAAGAUUUCAAAGGACUUUGUAUAUUUUACUUUAAUGAUCUGUGGAAAUUUGAGUUGUUGUUGCUACUGCUAGAAGUUGUGUUUUGUUAUUUUUAGUUAGGUAAUUAAGUUUAUGAGCUGUUAUAGAAAAUGCAUGAUCUGAAGGUGAAGGUGAUCUUCUGCUCCUCAUUUGCUUUGGUUUUGUGGAGAUCUCAGCUUCUUGUGGUGUUUUGUCGCUUGAAAUUUCUGUUAGUUGUGUCAUUUGGAUUAGACUACUAUAAUUUUGAUUUUCUGUAUUGUUGCUAUUAGCUGAUUGAGAUCAGAUUUGCUCUCUGCUUUCCUCUGAGAGAGCUUGAAGCUCAAGUAAAGUGAAUGACCUGAUUGUUCGUGACCUAUGAUGUAAUUACUUGCCAAAUUUGAACUGUCGGUUGAUUUUUGUGUAUAUAAAUCCAUCAGAAAAAUAUCGAUUGAUUUUAAAUUAAUAUAUGGUUUUCCUCUUAUUUUACUGCUAUAUGUCCUCUCCGAUUUUGGUAUGUAUCGCAUGUGAAGCUGCGGUUUAUACAAUUGAAAUACAUGUAAAACGGGUGACGUAUUUGCUAAAUGAAUAAAUCCCGAAAACUACUAUGUUUAUCAAAUUAAUGGAUGCUAUUUUGAGUACAUUAUUUAAGCAUUCUUUUAACAAUGAAAUCGUUAUUUGUUCAAUCAGUGAAGAUUCCCACUGGUGUACAAGAAUUUGAAAUUUUAUUUAAAAUUUGCUGCAGUUUUGUGGUAAUUUAUUUGUUUGGUGGUUUAUUACAUUUGUUAACGCCCCUACCUCUCAAGUCUUGGUGGGUAUCCGACGAGUAGUGGGUGGUAGAUAUCAUUGGGUAGCGGAUUGGUGGAUACCCAACGAGCAACGAGUAUCCGUGGGUCGCGGGUAUGGGUGGCAUAUAGUAUUGUACAAGAAGUUGAAAUUUUCUCUGUAAUUUGCUGCAAUUUCGUGAUGAUUUAUUUGUUGGGUGAUUUAUUGCAUUUGUUGGGUGGUUGAUUGCAGG